ensembl:lncRNA
UGACGCAACCGCGCGGCGCGCCAAAAGUGCCCGAAAUAGCCCCGCGCCCCGACGGGAUCCGCGCGGCGGGAGGGGAUGGCCGGGGGGCCCGCAGAGCGGCCCGGCACGAGGUCUGCCCUCCUCUGUUAUCCGUGCACCCAUCAGCUCCUGGGAGUCACUUUGAUGAAGGAAUCAGAGGAAAAUUGGAAAAUACCUUCAGCUUGAGGCCUGAGUCAAGUGCUGUUAUUAAUAGCGUGUUUAAUUACGAGUGGCAUCUAAAUCAGGUGAGUCUGGGAAGGUAAGAUGAAGGGGGAAAAUUGCCGUAAGAGCCUCUGAUUAGCGAGUAAAACACAAUUAGCUGUUCUCAAAGAGCAGCAAAGCCCACACCUGAUGACCACCACCUGCAGCCCGGGCUGUGUGUCCUGCAGGUCUCCAUCCUCGUGGAGGUCCCAUAGCGGUGUGCAUGAGGUGUGGCAGCUUUUUGGGUGCCCUGGUGCAGGGCUGGGUGUCCCUGGGGCAGCUCCUUCCCUUUGCUGCAGGGAGGCACAGCAGCCAAACCUGGGCUGUGUGUUGGGUUAGAACAGCUGCAGUGCACACGCUCCAAUCUCUUGAGCAGAGUUGGUCUGUGCACCAAAUCCUUCCUAAGCCUCUUUCUUAGCAGGUGCCUGAAUUUCAGAGGUAUAAGGUGAGAUGCUGUGGGUCGGGAUCUCGCUUCUUUCAGAUACUGGUAUUAUUACUACUUUAUCUAAUUGGAGCUCUGAAGUGAAAAAUACUCCUUCUUCUCUGACUUCGAGGUCUCAAUGAACAAUUUUUUCUGUUACAGUUCUCUGUUUCUGUGUAAUUUUAGCAUCAUACCAGGACAGGGAGCGUAACUUCAGGGAGCUGCUUUGACACACACUGCUCUGCCAUGGGGUUAACAGCAGACCCAGUGUACCAUAUCCCUGAUGGCAGCGUGCUCACUUGGCAGCAGCAAUCAGCUCCAUCCCAGCAGCUCCCAGCUAUCCCUGCUCCUCACAUCCACUGCCAAUGAGACUUCUGCUUUGCUCAGUGCAAGCAACAACUCCUUGUCUGUCAGUGGAUGAUGCUUUUCUGCAGUUAUUUCUAGGGUCCCGUGCUGCACGGUGGCUGCCUGGCAGUGGGAGUGGGAGAGCAGACAGAGAGGUGUGGGACAGAGACCCACAGUCAGCUGAACAUCCUUUUCUGCCCAUGCAGGAAUCAAAGCUUUUAGUGUUAUUCAAAGUCAGCAUCACACACAGAAGAAAUAGUUGGCUGCUGCAAUCAGCAGUGAUGAACAAUCAUUAUGAGGUGCAAAAGGAGCAUUGUUAAUAGGAGGCUACAUCUCCAGGUCAGUUUGACUGCACGAUUUUAUGAGCUUAAAGACCUACACACCUCAACUUCAAGAAUUAUUUACUCCCAAGAUAUUUACCUCUUCCACUUCUUUCUGAAAAUCAUAAUAAUAGCAGUAACUCUGUUCUGCAUUCCAGGCAUAAGCUGAAGAACAGGAGGAAAAGCAAAGCAAGAGAUUCCCAUGUUGAGACCAUGGAGCGCAGGAAGCUGCAGUGCUGUGCAGCCAUCUGAACUCAGAGUGAUGUUUGACCUCAGAUGAUGAACAGCAGCUUUGCCUUCUUGCUGUGCAAUGCCAGAUCACCAGAAAAGACCUUAGCUAAUACUUGUAAUGAUAUCGUGGCUCAGAUUGGGUGUACGAGCAUGUUGUAUGCUGCUUAACAGCAGAAGGUGAUGGGAUUCGAUGGAGAUGCAUAUAUGUAUUUCCUAACCUUCAGCAGGAACAGCAAAGAACUCUUGUUCCAAGAAGGAAUUCAGAAUAUCUCCUCCGCGUUCUACCUCUGCAUGCUGAGACAGAGUGAGAACUGCAGUCAUGGAGUGAGAAGACUCACAGAAGAGGUCAGUGCUUACCAUAACAACAGCGGUGCACUUUUGCAGGGCUGUGGUAUUUUCCAGGGUGUUGUAGUUGGGCAUUCCCUGCACAAAGCAUGAAGGACCGUGCCAUGCUGACAUGCUGACAAGGCAGCCUCUGUCCCGGUCUCACAGGCAGCACUGUGAGCUGGAGUUGCCUUUAGCCGUCAGAUACAUCAGCUUGAUAAUCUGUGCAAAGGUGUGUGGUUGGUACACCCCAUCUGUCUGAGUUCUACAACAAGUCCCUGUUUGCAUCAAAUUCUGGACUGCUCGCGUCCCUCUCUGACUACACUGGAGAACAGCUGAGGUCCCUCUCACUGAACGCUGCUUCCCAAGGGCUGAAUUCGGAUGAGAAAACCACUGUAACACUGGGUAAUUAAUUUGUCGGCCAAAUAAUUUCUGCAGGGCUAUCACUUACUUCUCUGUCUGCAACCCCAAUGAAUCUCCCAGCUCGCAGCUUUAAUCCCAUUUUCUGCCUUUUAAUCUCAUUUUUUCACUCUAAUUUUCAUAGCUCCUACUAUUCAGUGGGAAUAACCAGAGCCAGGUGAGCACGGAUUCUGUGGCACAUAUUGAAUGCCUGGAGACCAACAACAGAGCUCCUGGAAUGGAAUUCCUCCAUUCCAGGCGGUCCACUGCAACAAAUAAUGGACUCAACAAAAAGAACAGCUAUAAGAAUAAAGGAGAAAGAGUGAUUUGUAUUUGGAGGAAUUAUGAGUGUGACUUCAUUCAGAACCAGCCCAGCACACGUGUAGAACUCCCUAAGUGCAGUUCAGAGCAUUGCGUCCUCUGAUCAGGUAGGAACUAAUUUGCUAAGUGCAAAAGUUGGAAAAUUUUGUAGCUGUUUAACAGCAAAUCACAGAUCUGUCCUCAUUUAUUUUUCCUGACACAUUUAUUAUUGAAAGAUGGUUUGGUGAGUGCCAUAAGUAAGCAGGCGGUGUUGUUCCUGAGCCCUGAGAUUUGUCACUUCGGCUACAUCUUUCUGAUCUGUGACGGAGUGUUUUCUGCAGGAGAACAGGAAUGCUAAAUAAGGCAUCAAUAAUGCAAGAGAUCCGUGAAUAAUCACCCGAGUGCUUGAAAACGAGUGGACAGUGUGAUCAUAUGGUAGAAGAAAAAUAACGUUAGCUGCAUAUUUAUCAACGCCUGGUGCCAUUAGCACAGGGUCUGGCAAUAGCUCAAGGCUUCUAGGAGACAGUGCACACAGUGCUUUGGUGCCCAAUGCUACAGGAGGAGGGCACAUCCCCAGAGCAGGGAGCUUGUUUGGGCCCGGCCAGUCUGUGGCUGGAUGGGGUAAUGGAUGGGGAUGGCAGACAGCACCCUUCGUGUGUUUGUCCUAUGCUGCUGCAUUUUAGCCCUGUCUCUCACUGCACCAACGUGUCUAUCUUAAAAAGGACUUCUGAGUGCAAACAUUUGAUCCUGGGAGCAAGCAGAGUCAUUGGAAACUGUACCAGAAAGAACCGCCCCUGUCCCGCAGCUGUGUUGGAGUCACUCUCGGACUGCCUGCACUUCUGGUAGCUUUGGAACUGAGCUCUUUUUGGGCUGAAUGAGAGGGGCCCAACAGCUCCAUCAGGAGAAAAAUGGCUGCGGGAAGUAUAGAGUGCAUGUCAACGUGUGUCUAACGAGAGCUGAUGGGAAAUGCAGGACCGUGAACAGAUGCAAUGGAAUGGCAUCCUGUGGGAGGAGGCAGGUCCAGCCGCACACGGCACUGCCACGGGGUACAGGAACGAGUUAAUGCCACUGGGGGACGGCUGAGAACAGCGACAUUGUUGUUCCCUGAUGUCAGCCCAGAAACCCAAACACAAAGAGGUGAAUGUAGUGCUAUGAGAGGGCCCUUGAGAGAGCUGAAUGCUGGGCCUGUGCCGGGGCACCCAGCAGAAUUAGAAACGGCAGGGGAUGACCAAGUGUUUCCUGGAAGCAGGGGCUGCAGGCAGCUGUCGGCAGGCAGGGCUGUGUGCGUGGGGCACUGCUGGCUGCAGUGGUACAAGCAGGCAGUGUCGGUAGGCUUGAGGAGAUCCACGUCCACGAGGGACUCCUGUUUUACUUUAUAGCUCAGCGUAAGGCGUCUCAUUUCCUCCUGUAGGAUGCACACGUCGAGCCCUUCUGCAUAAUUCAGUGUUGCAUUUGGUGGGUGGUGCUCUGGGGGAUAUUUAGAUGGAGCGACAGUAGAGACAUUGCUUUGCUUCUGUACAAACUGCACAUCAGAUCUUCUAUGUGAAACGUAGGGAAAAAAAGACAGAGAUCUGCUGGAAGGAGUCCGGUGGAGGGCCACAGCGAUGAUAGAAGGCCUGGAGCAUCUUCCCUGUGAGGAAAGGCUGAGAGACCCCACGUUCAGCCCGGGGAAAAGGAGGCCGAGAUGGGAUCUGUUUAUGUUUAUGAACAUGAAGGGAGGCGGGAGCCAAAAGGAUGAGGCCAGGCUCUUCUUGGUGGUGCGCAGCAAUAGGAUGAGGAGCAAUGGCCUAACACUUGUUGUAGGAAGUUUCAAGCUAACAUGUGGAAGAACUUUAUGUAAGGGUGAGGGAGCACCCUGCAGAUCUGUACAGAAAGUCUGAGACUAAACGCUGACAGAGAUGUAUGCACCAACACACGGCACCACUGCAGGCAGCACGACGGGGAGCCGGAACCCCGAGGGCAGCACCCGUCGGGGCGCCUCCACGGGGCACCAGCGGCAAGAGAGCGGCCGGCCCACAGGCCGAGAGCACGGAGCGGGGCGGCGGGGGACGGCGGGAAGCCCGGGGACAACGCCGGGCGGGGCCGCCGAGGCGCCGAGCUGCCCGCAGUGCGCUCCACCCAGCCGGGCUCGGCCCGGCCCCGCGCGGCGGCCCGCCCUCUCAUAGCGCCCCGCGAAAACUUUCCCACAGCCGGGGAUGUAGCUCAGUGGUAGAGCGCGCGCUUCGCAUGUGUGAGGUCCCGGGUUCAAUCCCCGGCAUCUCCAGCGGCUUCUUUUUUGCGUCGCACGCCAUUUUCUCCCCUCUCUCCAGCUGCGGGAGGCUCCCGCUGCCGCGAAUCGCGCGGCCGUUGUCCCGCCGCACCGCUGUGCGCCUGAGGCGAGUCCUCGGGGAGGCCGGGAAAGCAACGCGGCGCUGCGGCUUCUCCGGCCUUAAAAAGAGCACUGCUUUUUGCCGAAAGGAAAUACAAACGAGUAAAUCAAUCAAGGCUUUAAAGGGAAGGAAAAAAAAAAUUGAGGGAAAGGAAAAAAUUUCGGUUGCAUUGGCCGGGAAUCGAACCCGGGCCUCCCGCGUGGCAGGCGAGAAUUCUACCACUGAACCACCAAUGCACGACUUGCGAUGUUAUAUGGAUGGUCUGUCCUACAAUAUAUCAAACAUUGGGUUUCUGCUGUGCUUUUCUUUCCCCUUUUCUCUUCCCAGCUCUGUGCCCAUGAGCAGUACCUCCAGCCGUUAUCUCCAGGAGAAAAUGUUUUUAGAAAGUCGGCAAUAUUUGUAUACAUUUUUUCCUCCAACAGAUUAAAAACCCUGUAACUUUCCAUAAUAAAGUCAUCGUCCCUUGAAUUUAACAGCAUUCAGGCUAAGUAACAGCGGGUUUAUCCUUGUAUCCAGUGCUGGGAGGGCACUGCCAGAGGAGGCCACCAGCAGAGACCACAGCUCUGCUCAGCACAGCCCUGCUCUGAGGGACGCAGCCCACAGACACUGAUACACAAUGGAACACAGUGCAGUGAUGGGUAAUGGUGUAAGAGGGCCUGGACAGUGACGUAACAACGUCACCACUGCAGCAGUGCGGUGCAGUGCCAUCACAGCUCCUUGUCCCCCCAGACCUCAACUUCUCCUUUUACGCUGGCAGAAAGUAACAGAGUAAAAGCAUCAGGUAGUAACUCUUACUUAGGCUAUGCUUACAAUAUCUCCAGUCAGCCCUGGAACACUUUCUCUAGAACAAAAGAAGUUAGAGGUGGAAAAUGCUCAUAUUGAGAAGAGUUUAACUUCCUGUUUUACUCUAUGUGGAGGAAGAUUUUACAGAUGAUCAACAAAGUGUUACCAAUCCUGUGCCAUUUCCAGAGUGAAAGUGAAACCAGCCCUUACACUCGCAGUUUGCAGCUAAGAGAAUCCUUUCCCACGUGCAUCAGACAGCGCUCUGCAUCCGCUCAGAACAUCCAUGUAUGCUGGCUGAAGGGUUACAGACAGCACGGUGAAGGAGGGGGAGUUGGACCCACUGCAGCUGGAGCACUGCUGCAGAACGUGCUCCAGAAGCACUUGUUCAAGCAGCGUGACAGGCUCAUACCUAACUUCUAACUCUAGGGAUGUCUAAGACAUCCUAACUUUACGAUGACUGCACGUGGGAGAGUGCUGAAUGGAGAGAAUCAAGACCUGUAACAUUAGAAAAUGAUUAGAAAAUCAUUCCCUUCAGCUGGUUCAAAAAUCUUUCUAGAAGCCAAAGGGAUGCCAUAGACCUUCAGCAGAAACAGAGAAGGAAAAACAUGUUAUAGGGAGAGAGGAUUUUCUUAGAUCUUUUUAUCCAUCAAAAAGAGCCAAAUGCACUUCCUUCCAUUCCAGGUCACCUUUAAAGGGGCUCUGAUCUUGCUGCUUGUGGCUAAGGCUUGACACAGUGCCUUCCUAGCGGCUCUGCUGCUGCAGGGUGGGAGUGAUGUGCUCUGGGCACUGGUGCUGCCCCUGCUGUGUGCCUCUGAGGAGGGUGCUGUAGCUCAGGGGCACCGAGAGCAUCUCAAGUGCAGGUGGUACAGGUGGAUUUGGAACAAGGUAAGGAGUUUCAGACAGGAAGUGCUAAAACUGCUCAAAUCACUCUUAAAACUGGAGGUGUGAGUUACCUGGAGUGUGGUAAGUGGACAUCGUUCAUUCCCUCUUUCCUGCUAGGUAUGGCCACACGUGCUCCUGCCAUGUGAUGCCCGUGUGGCGGUGCACCACUCACAGUUACAUUGGGGUUGCAUCCAUCUCUGUAUU